GAAUUGUUCAUUUUUAUUGCUUCCAAGUAACUCGGUGAAGAAAGUAUACAUAGGAGGUGCUUUUACACAUGAUUAAUCUCUCACUGACAAACUAGCAAGCUAAAACAAGAGAAAUUAGUUGCACAAAUUAAAAGAGGUAAUGAAGAAUUAUAAUCUCACACAUUGGAACAAGUACAUAACCUUAACUUUCUCGACUUAACCCCAUUUGGUUCCAUUUUCAAUCGGUAAGCUGAAGAAACAUCAGACAAUUUUUUCUUCUGUUCACCAAAUUCCAAACGUAUACCAGAAAUGUUGAAAUACUUAAAGUGCACAGCAAAGAUGACGAGGGCAUUUUGGCAACAUUCUUCACUGAAUCACAAUUCAUUUACGUCAUUCUUUGACUGAUAUUCACCAAAUUGGACUUCACAAGAUCGACUGAUAUGAUCAAAAACCUAGUUAGAUAUAAACUAGGAGGAAGGAAAAUUCAGCAAAGCCUUUAGAUGCCAAUUCGUCUCCUACACAUCCUUGUAUAAUAACUGGUAUUUUGGAAUUCGCUCAGGGGGCAAAGGACAAUUUACAAUGAGCUUUCCUUUCAUUGCUCCCCUAAAUAUUGCCUCCACAACAUCAAUAAAAUCCUGCUUUUGAUGAAAAGCACCAAUCCACUUUGUGUGAUCCGCAGUCCCUGAAUCCAUCUUCAUAUGAUGAGCA
rnacentral:misc_RNA from 1 species